rnacentral:rRNA from 1 species
GAUGAACGCUGGCGGCGUGCCUAAUACAUGCAAGUCGAGCGAACGGACGAGAAGCUUGCUUCUCUGAUGUUAGCGGCGGACGGGUGAGUAACACGUGGAUAACCUACCUAUAAGACUGGGAUAACUUCGGGAAACCGGAGCUAAUACCGGAUAAUAUUUUGAACCGCAUGGUUCAAAAGUGAAAGACGGCCUUGCUGUCACUUAUAGAUGGAUCCGCGCUGCAUUAGCUAGUUGGUAAGGUAACGGCUUACCAAGGCAACGAUGCAUAGCCGACCUGAGAGGGUGAUCGGCCACACUGGAACUGAGACACGGUCCAGACUCCUACGGGAGGCAGCAGUAGGGAAUCUUCCGCAAUGGGCGAAAGCCUGACGGAGCAACGCCGCGUGAGUGAUGAAGGUCUUCGGAUCGUAAAACUCUGUUAUUAGGGAAGAACAUAUAUGUAAGUAACUGUGCACAUCGUGACGGUACCUAAUCAGAAAGCCACGGCUAACUACGUG